UCUGGGAGGAGCGGCCAGGAGAGAGAAGGGCUUCCGUCUGCAAAGGCCCGGAAGUGGAGUGGUGGCCAAAGUCCCCAUGACCCAGACCCACUAUGUGGUGGGCUGAUCAAUCUGUUCUUCAGAGUGGCCCCUUGGUCACUUGCAAAGUAGAAGAGCGGCUGGCUCACAACGUGGAGGAGACUUUCGGAGGCUGGAAGGAAUUUUACAGACUGGCUGCCUGUAGUUCCCGGUGAGCUGUUUCAUUUGUCAAGGUCCUGUGUUUCUUAUGUUAACAAGCGUGUUAGCAUCGCGUCUGUGUUCAGAGAGAGGUGCUGUACACUCUUCUCUGAGACCCAGCGCCCGGGACUCCAACUAACUGUGACCCAUAAGGCAGGAGACAGGCCAAGCCGGUGGAGAGGCAGAGGAAUGAGUAGAAGUCCGCACUGCUCCUGCGUGCGAGCAUCCUGUCGCCAGCUCUUGGUGUGCUCGUGGGUAGAGCUG
rnacentral:lncRNA from 1 species